rnacentral:rRNA from 1 species
GGGGAAUAUUGCACAAUGGGCGCAAGCCUGAUGCAGCCAUGCCGCGUGUGUGAAGAAGGCCUUCGGGUUGUAAAGCACUUUCAGCGAGGAGGAAGGCAGUCGUGUUAAUAGCACGGUUGAUUGACGUUACUCGCAGAAGAAGCACCGGCUAACUCCGUGCCAGCAGCCGCGGUAAUACGGAGGGUGCAAGCGUUAAUCGGAAUUACUGGGCGUAAAGCGCACGCAGGCGGUUUGUUAAGUCAGAUGUGAAAUCCCCGCGCUUAACGUGGGAACUGCAUUUGAAACUGGCAAGCUAGAGUCUUGUAGAGGGGGGUAGAAUUCCAGGUGUAGCGGUGAAAUGCGUAGAGAUCUGGAGGAAUACCGGUGGCGAAGGCGGCCCCCUGGACAAAGACUGACGCUCAGGUGCGAAAGCGUGGGGAGCAAAC